UAAUAAGCGGAGGAAAAGAAACUAACAAGGAUUCCCUCAGUAACGGCGAGUGAAGCGGGAACGGCUCAAAUUUGAAAUCGCCGUCGCCUUGCACGGCGACUUGUAGUUUCGAGAAGCGCUUUCUCAGCGGCAUCGGACGCGUCCAAGUUGCUUGAAACGGCACGUCGAGGAGGGUGACAACCCGUCUGUGGCGCGUUCGGCCGCUCACGAUGGCCCUUCCA
rnacentral:rRNA from 1 species